rnacentral:sRNA from 1 species
GCAGAGGGUUGGAAGGGCAGGAUUUGAACAGGUUCGACCGAUGAGCGCAGCGAAUCGGAACGGCGCAGCCGGCCCGUAGGGUGAGGGAUGUAGUCCCGAAUAAUCCUGCCGCUCCAGCCA